CAACAAGCAACACACACACACAGUAGUCAACGUGGUAUUGAGAGAGAGGGAUGGGUGUGUCACUUGAGUGGGUUGAGUCACUGACGUGAUCUUCCAUCCCCCCAGCCUUGUCUCAGGAUGGACCUGAGCCCUAAGACCAUGCCUCAGGACUACCUGGCCUGAUGACUCCUUGCUGUCCCCAGUCCACCUGGUUGUGCUGUUGCUCCAGUUUCAACUGUUCUGCCUGGGGCUAUGGAACCUGUUCACCGGACGUGCUCCCUUUCCCAGACCUGCUGUUUUCAACUCUCUAGAGACAGCAGGAGCGAUAGAGAUACUCUGAAUGAUCGGCUAUAAAAAGACACAACCACAACCAGCUACAACCACUAUAAUUAUUUUUAUUUGACCCUGCUGGUCAUCUAUGAACAUUUGAACAUUUUGACCAUGUUCUGUUAUAAUCUCCACCCGGCACAGCCAAAAGAGGACCACCCCUCAUAGCCUGGUUCAUCUCUAGGUUUCUUCCUAGGUUCUGGGGAGUUUUUCCUAGCCACCGUGCUCCUACACCUGCGUUGCUUGCUGUUUGGGGUUUUAGGCUGGGUUUCUGUACAGCACUUUGUGACAUCAGCUGAUGUAGGAAGGGCUUUAUAAAUACAUUUGACUGAUUGAAUGAUUGAACCUAGCUCAGGGAACACCAACAACACUAAGAGGAGAAGCAUAGUCUCGUUCACCGCCCUCCUUCUGUCUUCCGCUUUGUAUUCCUCUGUGCCCCCCCCAAUCCAUAUCCCCCUCAUCCUUUUGCUCUUUUUCCCAGUCUAUUUUUAGAUGCAUGCCAGGGAAAUCCAAUACAUGGAUAGUGAUAUAAAUAGCAUGCGGUACAUUGACCGCAACGCAUUAGGUACACAUGUAAGAAACAUAGAAAACUGCUUAGAAUUUUAGAUCAAUGUUGAUACUUGAACCUAUGCCAAUGAAUAUGACUUUCCAGUAUGCCAUGAUAAAGAGAACAACGGUAUAACAGGAAAUGUUACAACAUAAUUUUGAUGUAUAUGAAGACACCAUGUGCAUCAAACGUGUUUCCACGUGUUUGUUUGGGGGGUGUGUCCUGUUGGAAAUUCCCACUUCCUUAUAAAGAUUGUCUUCAAUAUUUCCACCUUGUUGCUGGGACAACCAUGACUUCAAAG
ensembl:lncRNA